rnacentral:rRNA from 1 species
AUUGAACGCUGGCGGCAGGCCUAACACAUGCAAGUCGAGCGGGGCGACGGACGGGUGAGUAAUGCCUAGGAAUCUACCUGGUAGUGGGGGCUAACGUCCGGAAACGAGCGCUAAUACCGCAUACUAUCAGAUGAGCCUAGGUCGGAUUGGCUAGUUGGUGGGGUAAAGGCCUACCUAGGCGACGAUCCGUAACUGGUCUGCGAGGAUGAUCAGUCACACUGGAACUGAGACACGGUCCAGAUGCCUACGGUAGGCAGCAGUGGGGAAGAUUGGAAAAUGGGCGAAAGCCUGAGCCAGCCAUGCAGCGUGUGUGAAGAAGGUCUUCGGAUUGUAGAGCACUUUAAGUUGGGAGGCGUUACCAACAGAAUAAGCACCGGCGAACUACGUGCCAGCAGCCGCGGUAAUAC